CCUACGGGACGCAGCAGUGGGGAAUAUUGCACAAUGGGCGAAAGCCUGAUGCAGCAACGCCGCGUGAGCGAAGAAGGUCUUCGGAUUGUAAAGCUCUGUCCUAGGGGAAGAAGAAAAUGACGGUACCCUUGGAGGAAGCCCCGGCUAACUACGUGCCAGCAGCCGCGGUAAUACGUAGGGGGCAAGCGUUAUCCGGAUUCACUGGGUGUAAAGGGAGCGUAGACGGCCAGGCAAGCCUGGAGUGAAAGCCCGGGGCCCAACCCCGGGACUGCUCUGGGAACUGUCCGGCUGGAGUGCGGGAGGGG
rnacentral:rRNA from 1 species